rnacentral:rRNA from 1 species
CACGUAGUUAGCCGGGGCUUCUUACUCAGGUACCGUCAUUUCUUUCUUCCCUGCUGAUAGAGCUUUACAUACCGAGAUACUUCUUCACUCACGCGGCGUCGCUGGAUCAGGGUUCCCCCCAUUGUCCAAUAUCCCCCACUGCUGCCUCCCGUAGGAGUUUGGGCCGUGUCUCAGUCCCAAUGUGCCGUCCACCCUCACGCGGCG